rnacentral:rRNA from 1 species
CUCAUUAAUCAGUUAUCGUUUAUUUGAUAGUACCUUACUACAUGGAUAACCGUGGUAAUUCUAGAGCUAAUACAUGCUAAAAACCCCGACUUCGGAAGGGGUGUAUUUAUUAGAUAAAAAACCAGCGCCCUCCGGGGCUCCUUGGUGAUUCAUGAUAACUCAACGAAUCGCAUGGCCUUGCGCCGGCGAUGGUUCAUUCAAAUUUCUGCCCUAUCAACUUUCGAUGGUAGGAUAGUGGCCUACCAUGGUAUCAACGGGUAACGGGGAAUUAGGGUUCUAUUCCGGAGAGGGAGCCUGAGAAACGGCUACCACAUCCAAGGAAGGCAGCAGGCGCGCAAAUUACCCAAUCCCGACACGGGGAGGUAGUGACAAUAAAUACUGAUACAGGGCUCUUUUGGGUCUUGUAAUUGGAAUGAGUACAAUUUAAAUCCCUUAACGAGGAACAAUUGGAGGGCAAGUCUGGUGCCAGCAGCCGCGGUAAUUCCAGCUCCAAUAGCGUAUAUUAAAGUUGUUGCAGUUAAAAAGCUCGUAGUUGAACCUUGGGCCUGGCUGGCCGGUCCGCCUCACCGCGUGUACUGGUCCGGCCGGGCCUUUCCUUCUGGGGAGCCGCAUGCCCUUCACUGGGCGUGCCGGGGAACCAGGACUUUUACUUUGAAAAAAUUAGAGUGUUCAAAGCAGGCCUUUGCUCGAAUACAUUAGCAUGGAAUAAUCGAAUAGGACGUGUGGUUCUAUUUUGUUGGUUUCUAGGACCGCCGU